CCUACGGGAGGCAGCAGUGAGGAAUAUUGGUCAAUGGACGAGAGUCUGAACCAGCCAAGUAGCGUGAAGGAUGACUGCCCUAUGGGUUGUAAACUUCUUUUAUAAAGGAAUAAAACGAGGCACGUGUGCCUUUUUGCAUGUACUUUAUGAAUAAGGAUCGGCUAACUCCGUGCCAGCAGCCGCGGUAAUAAGGAGGAUCCGAGCGUUAUCCGGAUUGAUUGGGUUUAAAGGGAGCGUAGAUGGGUUGUUAAGUCAGUUGUGAAAGUUUGCGGCUCAACCAGAAAAUUGCAAUUGAUACUGGCAGUCUUGAGUACAGUUGAGGUAGGCGGAAUUCGUGGUGUAGCGGUGAAAUGCUUAGAUAUCACGAAGAACCCCGAUUGCGAAGGCAGCUUACUAAACUGUGACUGACAUUGAUGCUCGAAAGUGUGGGUAUCAAACAGGAUUAGAUACCCCUGUAGUC
rnacentral:rRNA from 1 species